UACGGAGGGGGCUAGCGUUGUUCGGAAUUACUGGGCGUAAAGAGCUCGUAGGCGGUCUGUCGCGUCGAAUGUGAAAACCCGGGACUCAACUCCGGGCCUGCAUUCGAUACGGGCAGACUAGAGUUCGGUAGGGGAGACUGGAAUUCCUGGUGUAGCGGUGAAAUGCGCAGAUAUCAGGAGGAACACCGGUGGCGAAGGCGGGUCUCUGGGCCGAUACUGACGCUGAGGAGCGAAAGCGUGGGGAGCAAACAGG
rnacentral:rRNA from 1 species